rnacentral:misc_RNA from 1 species
AACAGGCACACCUGCGUAAGACAUGCGCACACACGGUGACCCGCUAUGCACCCCCUCCCCUCCCCACAUCCCACAUUCCACCGGCCUCCUUACGACAUUCACACUCACGUAGGUUUCCAGUGACGUUGUCGCUCACUCCCUUAUACACGCACACAUAUCUAUCUUGUGGCCACGCUGCAUCCGUGCAGCUGCCUCUCCUCGUGAGCGUAAGCCCCUCCCCUCUUCUUUGCUCACCGAGUUUCGUGUUUUCCGUUUCGUUAACGAGGGUGUAGCUUACCUCCCCUCAUCGUUCCCCCCCCCUGCUGCUCUACGCCCGUGGCUGGCAUUCAUUCCGUAUUAGACACCCCGGUGCGCACCUUCUAGCGCGCUGCUGGUUCUCUUCACUUGCUUGCGGCAGUGCGUUGUAGAGGCGAUACGUUAGGCGCGCGUGUUCCGAAAGACCCAUCGACUACGAAAAGAAGGCAGCGCACGUGCGCUGUAUGAGGGGGAAGAGGGGGGUCACGUGGUGCGCCCACAGUCAGCGGAUGGUGGUCACCAGACAUCACGCGCCAACGCAACAAGAACCAAGGGCGAGCAUGCUGACGGGUGCCGGCGCGUACGGCGGUGGGGGUGGCGCACUCUCCGGCAACCACGAAGGUCAUGGCGCCUCUGCGCAAGAGAUGGUUGUUGUCUCACCGAACUCACAAGAGGUCGCAGAACUGCCCAGUGAGUGUGCCUCUCGCCAGGGGCACUGCUCCGUCGUCCUUCCCUACCGUCAACCCUCUCCAGAGACUCAAAGGUUCAUCGCCACAUGGCAGGGUGCACUCCCGAAGAACUUCUACAUCAUCACCGCGUGCGUUCUGGGGUGUGCGCUGACCAUCUUCAUCGGCAUACUCGUGCCGAUGCUCGUCAUACGCCGAAGCGCCAACAUACACAAUGCCGUGGUCCGGGCAAAGGAGUACGACGCCGUCAGUGCGUGGGCUUCCGUGUUGCGCGACGUCAUGAUUGAAGGCUUCGCCGCUACGCGUGCGUUGGCGGGCUAUUCGAUAAGCACGUUUCCCCCUCUGCAAACGCCCACGAAUGCGUCCGACUCGAUACCAAGCGACAAGAUCACGGCGUACCUGAAAAGGUUUCCGCGUUUUGCAUCCCUGAUCGCCUCGAAGAAGCCCGCCGUGGCGAUACAGGCCAUCUGCCCCGGCGGAGUCAUCGCCAUGACCCACCCGCACGAUCCGGACACAGUGGGCCGCGACCUCAUGAGCCCAAGCGACCCGACCAAUCGGUACAAGCCCUCCACAAGGGAGACCGCUCAGUCGGGUCGCUACGCCAUCGUUGGCCCGCGACGCACCACCAUCGCCUCCCUCAAGCAAAUUUGGGUCAUCUUUACGCGCGCGCCCCUCUACAGGAAUACCUCUAAAGGAGUGAUUCCCUCGCAGGAGACCUUCUGGGGUUUCGUGCUACUCGUCGUCAACGUGACAGGCGCGCUCGACGUUAUGGAUCUGGACAAGCUUGCCAAGGACCAUAAUCUGGACUACGUGCUCUACGACACUUCAACAGAGUCAGGUGACACGCAUGUGAUCGCCUCCUCGCUGCCAUCGGGCGCAAUGCAGCCGGACUACGAGGAAUUCGUCGCUGAAAGCACCGUCACAGACGUCCUGGCACCCCACUCGUCGCUGCACAUUGCGGUGCGCUCACGCGAGACGUACGUCUCCCUCACUCCUACCAACAUCAUUCUCAUCGUACUGUGGACACUGUUCGGCUCCCUGCUCCUGUUGGGCAUCUCCAUCGCAGCCGUGUUGUGGUGCACGGCCACCUACGACGCCGCAGCGCACGCGCCCAAGAUGGCACCCUUCGCCAUGCUCACCAUCGGCCCCUGCCGCGGCGAGGAGCUCUGGGAUCUUGCCACGGAUCAGAUGGCCGAGGUGACGGAGAAGCUCGAUCAGGUACUGGUGCGGCAAAUGGAGCGGCACCGCGCCUACCAGAUCCAGCAGGUGCACCCGCUCACCACAUCGUACGUCACGCGCAGCGUCGCCGCCGCUGUGCAGAUGGCCUUCAGCACCAUCGAGGAGCUGCAGCGCCACCCCAUCGACGGCCCGCUGCGCGCCGUGCUCGGUGAUGAGGUCCGCCUGCUGCUGUGCUACGCCGUGCACUGGUGCACCGACGCCGCCGUGCGCGUGGAAUCGCUGGAAGGCACGUACCGCUACGAGGGCUGCGACGUUGUCUUUGGUGGCCGCAUGUGGGCCUUUGCUGCGCCCAGCGUCGUCACGGCGUCCGAGGCGGUGGUGCAGACACUGCCGUGCUUCGGCCUCUCCGGCGUUGUUACGCGAGCGUACCAGACGGUCGACGUGAUGCGCACCACACGAGCCAGCUACACCGACGGCAGCGAGGCAGGCAGCAGCGAUGCAUCCAGCACAAUCGGUGGGGGCGGCAGCGCGACGCUGUACCUACUGGUGCACGCAGCGAAGCAAGAUCUCGUGGCGGGAGCAGAGGCGACUGCAGCCGCCGCGGCCGCUGGGGCGAUGGUGCCUCAACUCAUGGUUGGUAACGCUCCAGCGCCCAGCCUCUACUGCGGGCUGAUAACGCGUGGGAACUCGCCGAGCUUAGAAGCAGGGAGGGCGUCUGUGCCCAGUCUGCAGGAUGUGUCCGCGCGAUCACCGGAAAUCGAGUCCUCUGCGUCCAGCGCCUGGAGCUCUGCGGCCUCGACCAAAGGGAGCUCGAGAGCGACCAACGCGUCACAGCGCCGUGGGCGUGCAGCAGCCGAAAGGAGCGCACGUACUCGCAAUCCUUUAAGCCGCGGGGAUUUGGACACGGAACAGCAGGCCUUGGUGCGGAAGCAGGCUCUUGCGAAACACAACGCGGCCUCGACUCCAGAGCAGCAUCGUCUUGUGCUGAUUGAAGCUGAUGCCGUCACACGCGCGCUGCUGCAGCCGCUGAUCCCACGCGCGCUCGACGUUGCCCUGCGCGUCGCCUUUGACUACCAGUCCAUCACCCUCGAUGUGCGCUACGCCGAGGUGCGGGUGCUGGUCUACUACUUCUACUCCAGCUACAAGAUCCUGUUCCGCCCGCUGGCCGCGCCGGAGCGCCACAACAUCUUCCGCCGCCUGGUGACAGCCUUUGGUGUGCCGCAGCAGGGCAUCCUCGAGCACCUGGCCGCGCGCGGUGCGGUUCAGUGGUUGUCGCAGGUGCGCAAGAUCAACGGGUUCAUGCAUCGGCAAGGCUCUCUUGAAUGCAGUAGCCAAACAGAAAGCUCGUCAGUGACCCCGUCUCCGUGCAACAGUCUCCCGGGGGCGCAACGGCUGCGUCUCUAGCGGCUGCAAGCGGACGUCUGCCUUACGAUGCAGUGCCACAGCGCUCCCCCACCACCGCCACCACUACCGCACAAGACGCUCGUCCCCCGGCCCUGCGUCGGGGUGGCGAAAAGUGUGUCUGUCGCGUCUGCACGUGUGUCAGCGGGGUGGAAGGUGGAGAGAGGAGUUAGGGGAUGGGAAAGUGGCACGGUGUGUCCAGUCAUGUAGACACGAUCAAUGCAGGUGGCCUGUUCAAAAGGAUGCCCUUCAACGCAGUUGUGGGACCCUGCGUCGAGCGGCAGUGAAGCGGGGCUUUCCUCGCCGCCGUCGCCCACCCACGCCCCUCCUACUCCUCCUCUCAUGCCAAGCCCUUCUCGACACGGAGGUCUCACUCCUUCUCUUGGGCCCUUCGACUUAUUCGCUAGCUUGGUGUGUGUGUGUGUGUGUGUGUGUGUGUCCUUCGUUUUCUUUUUCCUUUGGCUUUUCGUAUACAUCUGCUUGCUUGUCUUGGGGAGAGGGGAAGAGAGAAGGGGGGAGGGGGCGGGGGCUUUUCGCCUCGUGUGUCUACGCAUGUGUAUGCGCGUGUGCCCAGGUCCGCCUGUUGAAUGCACAUAUAACCCUGCAGUGCGCUGCCGGUGCCUCGACCUCCCGCCUUCCCCCCACCCAUCGUCCCUUCCAGUCCCGCGCACACACACACACUUUCGUUUUGGCAUGGUUUCCUUCGUCUGCAGUGCUCAUUGGUUCCCCCCCCUCCCCCCAUAUACGUGCGUUUUCGUUUUCCUCGUGCUGUGGUUGUCGGCUCUCUGUCACGACAGGGUGCCUCGGCGCCCCCUCAUGACGGGGAAGGGGAAAGAGGGUGGGGGUGGCACACAUCUCCGUGCGUCGCACCACAGGCUCCCGUGACCCCACCAACCACCAGCACCACGUUGUGGGCGGAAGCCAAGCAACCCCCACCCCCACCCCUCCCAUAUUCCUGCCAAACGCCGAACCAGCUCUGGUGGUCACAGGUUCAGGUCCCGGAUGGCGUUACGUUGGAGCGACCCGCGACAGUGAGCACGUCUGUGCCAUCUAUAUGAUCGGCAGCGUUUAAGGCAGAAGCCGUGCUCGCAUAACUGAGCCCGCGGAUUGCUGUAACGCGCGUGCCUACGGCUGCUUCGCACCACGGGAUGGGUCUGUGGCAUGCCGGGGCUCGAGUAGAGUCUGACGCAUAUUCUGUGGCAGGGAAUAGUUGACACGUUGG